UAAGAGGCAUUGCUCUAUAGAGGUAAAGGGUAGAAAUAAUUUGGUUGUUGUACAGAGGUAAUUGCUCAACAGAGGUUUCAUGUAUUAUCAUUAUUUGAUGUUUUCUCUUUUAAG